GACGAACGCUGGCGGCGUGCUUAACACAUGCAAGUCGAACGGAAAGGCCCUGCUUGCCGGGUACUCGAGUGGCGAACGGGUGAGUAACACGUGGGUGAUCUGCCCUGCACUUCGGGAUAAGCCUGGGAAACUGGGUCUAAUACCGGAUAGGAGCCAUUUUUAGUGUGAUGGUUGGAAAGUUUUUUCGGUGUAGGAUGAGCUCGCGGCCUAUCAGCUUGUUGGUGGGGUAAUGGCCUACCAAGGCGGCGACGGGUAGCCGGCCUGAGAGGGUGGACGGCCACAUUGGGACUGAGAUACGGCCCAGACUCCUACGGGAGGCAGCAGUGGGGAAUAUUGCACAAGGGGCGCAAGCCUGAUGCAGCGACGCCGCGUGGGGGAUGACGGCCUUCGGGUUGUAAACUCCUUUCGCUAGGGACGAAGCUUUUUGUGACGGUACCUAGAUAAGAAGCACCGGCUAACUACGUG
rnacentral:rRNA from 1 species